AAUGAGUCAAUUAAGGCUUACAUAUCUGCCUGGGCUCCCACAGGGCCAACCCUGCGCCAUAAGAUACAAGGCAGGAAGGAAGUCAUCAAGGUUUUAACACCUGAAAGUGGUUAAUGCCUCAGUUCCUAGAGUUCCUGCCAUUGCCACACACUCUACCCCUAGCACGGUGUGGGGCACACGGACAGCACACGGGGGAACCUGUGAUUGGGUCUCUGCUCUCCAGGAACAUCUAGCAUGCAGGCGACAUCACAAAGGAGGGCAGGACUGGCUGUGGGGUGCAGUGGACUGCAAAGGGGGAGACAGGACAGAGGCCUUUAGCAACUAGGGGAAGUUUCACGAGGAGGAGGGGCUGACGCCUGAAGCAGAGAGAGUCCAACAGGCAGCAGGUGGGCGGGGAUCUGUCUGCAGAAGUUCAGUGGUGAAGGAUACACCAGGAAGUCUCAAGAGACAGAAAAGAUCAACUACACUGGAGCUGGGGGGACGUGAAGGAGAAAAAAGCAAACAGGGGCUGAGCAGCUUCUCCUUCCAUUCAUGGAUCACUGAGGUCUCUGGCUGCCCUGUGUGGUUCUUUCCUUGACAUCACUUGGAUCCCUUCAUAGCUCGCCAGGUCUCACUUGGAGGCAGCUAUCUGAAGCCUGGCAAGAAGAGUCUUCGUAGUCUGACUCAUGAGGCACAUUUUCUUUAUUGUCAUCACAUUCAAUCACAACAGUUGGC